CCCUGGUGUCCCCAUGGGGACAAGGGACACUCCAAUGUCCCCAAGGACCCACCCUGGUGUCCCCAGGGACCCAUCUUGGUGUCCCCAGGGGGACAAGGAUCACCCCAGUGUCCCCAAGGACCAACCCUGGUGUCCCCAUGGGGACAAGGGACACCCCAAUGUCCCCAGGGACCCACCCCAAUGUCCCCAAGGACCCACCCUGGUGUCCCCAGGGACUCACCUUGAUGUCCCCAAGGACCCACCCUCGUGUCCCCAAAGCUCAGCUGUGGUGUCCCCAUGGGGACAAGGGACACCCCGAUGUCCCCAGAAACCCACCCUGGUGUCCACAAGGACUCAUCCUGGUGUCCCCAAGGGGACAAGGGACACCCCAAUGUCCCCAAGGACCCACCCUGGCCACCCCAAGAACCCCUCUUAGUGUCCCCAUGGGGACAAGGGACACCUUGAUGUCCCCAGAAACCCACCCUGGUGUCCCCAAGGACCCACCCCGGUGUCCCCAGGGACCCAUCCCGGUGUCCCCAAGGGGACAAGAGACAGCGCUGAGUGACACCCAUGGGUUCCAAUGGCCCCAAAGAGGUCGAGGGCCACCAGGGGGGACAAGGGACGGCGUUGAUGGACACCCAACGUUGAGGGUCACCCAAUGGGUCAAGAAACCAUUUAUAGGGACACGAAACAACGCCAGCGUCCCAACCCAAGGACAAUGGCCACCAUUGAUGGACACCCAACGUUGAAGGUCACCCAAUGGCUCUAGGGCCCA
rnacentral:lncRNA from 1 species